AUUAAAUUGAGAUUUUUCACAUGACAAUUUUUCCAUUAAUGACACAUGAUAUUGUCGCUGUCACUGUCAUGUGGAGUUGUCAAAUGGGCAACCCGGCCAGACUCACCACGAGUUGGUCACUUAGUGAGUUAACCCAACCCAGCUCAUUUAUGGGAGUUACUCCCUGUACCUCCCCAGUUCCAACCCCCACCCCCCCAAUUUUUUUGGACUUUUUUUUAAAUACAAAAUUAACCUUUAUGUUUUUUUAUUUUUACCGUUUUAUCCCUAUUUAACCUACCCUACCUCUUUUACAGUCUGCCUCAGUCAAAACACACAUACUCAUAUUCCUUUUCGUAUUCCCACCCCCACCCCACCAAAGCUUUUAAAACGCUCCUCCUCCAAAUGCUCUGCAACUCUCACUCUCCCACUCCUCGAAGGUUCUGUUUGUGCGGCCUGGUGCUGUUGGGCGGUGCGGUUGUGGUUGCUGCGCAGAGGGUGCUGGUGCGGCGGGUGUUGCGGCGAUGUGAGGCGGUGGUUCUUGCUUCGACAGGUUAGUUUCUUUUAAUUUCUUCUUUUUUUUAAACGUAUGCAAUGUGUAGUGUAGGAUUGGGUAGCUUUGUCUGGUUGGUGUUUCUGUUUGAGUUCUGUCAUGUUGUGUGCAUUGAGAAAGAAGACAGGC
rnacentral:lncRNA from 1 species